ACAGAAACACCAAGCUCACCCAUGAAUACUUCAAUGAGGAGCACAGGCACCAGCUCUGACGGGAGUGACUGAGGGAGCUCCUGGUGAAAUGUGCCAAGGUUGCUGCAGUUGGAGAGGGGGCUCCACCAGCUCCACAUCCUGGGCAGACAGGAACACAGUCUCUUUCUGUAUCACACCCUUGUGCCAGGGCUGAUGACUCUCAGUUCAGGCAGACACUGUCAUCUAACGCCAGGCCACAAUGUCACCGAAAGCCAGGGAAAACACCUGUCCCGUGAUUCUUCACUGGAAUGGCUUCAGCAUGGAAUCUCUUCCCUCAGCUCAAUACAGACAACUUUGUGGCUCUCCUGUUCUCCAGUGUAGGAACACUGCUGCUUCAUAGAGAGAGGGGGAAUGGUUCUGCCUUACAGUACAUGCAGCAGCAGCAGCCGUGAUACACAUCUUUGGGGUGUGCAAAAGUACUUGGCCUCCCCACUCCCUCCCCACUCCCUCCUGGCACUGCAACAGCAGCUGGUACCAGGCUGCAGCGUUUCAGGAAUGAAAAGCCUGUGGAAUUCCAUGUGGGCCGAAGCAGUGCCUCUGCGCAAUCUCCGGAUGAUCUAUUCAAAGUGUGAAUAUUUACUAUUUUGAUUCAUCUCCAUGGAAGAGGAACCCACUAGCUGCUUCUAGUCAGCCAUCUUGAACCAGAAGCCCUUAUUUUACUUUUAUUUGUACUUUUUCUUUCAAAAAACUUUUUAAAUAUGUCAUUAAAAUGGUAAAUUUGCAAGUUUAAGUGAAAUCUAGUUUAGAAUUGAUGAAUUGUUAGUGAUGAUAUUCACAUCAUGAAAGUACUCAAUAGCAACUAGCCAAAGACAUUACUUUGAGGCAUGAAAAUAUCCUGUGUCUGUUUCUGCAAUAUAUGUUUAUUUCAGGAUAAAAAAAGAAAUUGUUUCUAUAAUGGAUUUUCACAUGGAACAAGUAAAAUGUUCUUGACUGAAUAUGUUGGCUGUCUUUUCUUCCAACAAACCAUUAGUUUACCAGUGUUGACAUUAGAAACAGCUCCUUACUAAAAAAUAAAAAUGUACCACCAAUGGAUCUCAGCUCUUAAGUGGAUUUCUAGUGACUAUGAUACUUGCAUGAAGUUCAGGGAUUGGAAUCUAUCACUAAUACUAUCCUAGAAUAAAAAUUGAAAUACAGAUUUAUUAUUUCUAAGCCUAAAUUAUUAAAAUGUUAUUGUAUACGUUUGAAAAUAUAAUUCAGCUCAAUAAGUACAGUAUUCACAGUUAAGAAGUAAACUGGUCCCACCAUCCUCUAAUCACCCC
rnacentral:lncRNA from 10 species